rnacentral:rRNA from 1 species
UACGUAGGGGGGCAAGCGUUGUCCGGAUUUAUUGGGCGUAAAGAGCGUGUAGGCGGCCAUGUAGGUCCGUUGUGAAAACUCGGAGGCUCAACCUCGAGACGCCGAUGGAAACCAUGUGGCUAGAGUCCGGAAGAGGAGAGUGGAAUUCCUGGUGUAGCGGUGAAAUGCGCAGAUAUCAGGAAGAACACCCGUGGCUAAGGCGGCUCUCUAGUACGGUACUGACGCUGAGACGCGAAAGCGUGGGGAGCGAACAGG